rnacentral:rRNA from 1 species
CAGUCGCCACGGGAAUACGGAGGGUGCAAGCGUUAUCCGGAUUCACUGGGUUUAAAGGGUGCGUAGGCGGAUCUGUAAGUCAGUGGUGAAAUCUCCAGGCUUAACCUGGAAACUGCCGUUGAUACUAUAGGUCUUGAAUUUUGUGGAGGUUAGCGGAAUAUGUCAUGUAGCGGUGAAAUGCAUAGAUAUGACAUAGAACACCAAUUGCGAAGGCAGCUGGCUACACAACUAUUGACGCUGAGGCACGAAAGCGUGGGGAUCAAACAGGAUUAGAUACCCCCGUAGUCCCUGUCUUUUAUAC